AUUGAACGCUGGCGGCAUGCCUUACACAUGCAAGUCGAACGGUAACGGGCCUUCGGGUGCCGACGAGUGGCGAACGGGUGAGUAAUACAUCGGAACGUGCCCGCUCGUGGGGGAUAACGAGGCGAAAGCUUUGCUAAUACCGCAUACGAUCUACGGAUGAAAGCAGGGGACCGCAAGGCCUUGCGCGGACGGAGCGGCCGAUGGCAGAUUAGGUAGUUGGUGGGAUAAAAGCUUACCAAGCCGACGAUCUGUAGCUGGUCUGAGAGGAUGAUCAGCCACACUGGGACUGAGACACGGCCCAGACUCCUACGGGAGGCAGCAGUGGGGAAUUUUGGACAAUGGGCGCAAGCCUGAUCCAGCCAUGCCGCGUGCAGGAUGAAGGCCUUCGGGUUGUAAACUGCUUUUGUACGGAACGAAAAGCCUUCUUUUAAUACAGGAGGGUCAUGACGGUACCGUAAGAAUAAGCACCGGCUAACUACGUG
rnacentral:rRNA from 1 species